UGGGCAUUGGUCCACCUUGACUUCUU
rnacentral:piRNA from 1 species